AUGCUAUGUGACUGGCGGAUCAGUAGAAAAACUACAGGGAGCAUAGCAUAUGUACGCCGACCGCCUGGGCAGACC
rnacentral:ncRNA from 1 species